rnacentral:lncRNA from 1 species
CUUUUCUUUUUCAGUACAGGAGAAUCCGAUCCAGCUGUGCUCUACAACUGAGGGAGGAGUUGUGCUAUACCAGGUGCUCCUUUGGCAUCUGAACCAAGCUGCACCUACUGUAGCAUGCACUACACCGUGUUGUCAUUGGUAUCCAUGUAUGGUGAGCACCUGAGGCAGCAAUGGUCCUGCUCACUUCUGGAUACCCUGGCUGAACACCUGGCCUAGCACAAGCUGGUGCUUAAUGAAAGCAGCCUGCCACAGCCACACUGUAUCUAAGGCUAGGCAAGCUCUCUCCCAGCCUGACACUGGUAUCAUUUUAAAUGUGGACAGCUGGGCAUAGUGGCACACAUCUGCACUCCCAGCUACUUGGGAGACUGAGGCUGGUGGAGCACCUGAGCCCAUGAGUUCCAGACUGGCUUGGACGACAUAGGGAUACAGCAUCUCAGCAACAAAAAACGUCAUCCAUCAGAACCUGUGACAUGAC